rnacentral:piRNA from 1 species
AUUUGUUUUGCCUACAAGAU